rnacentral:rRNA from 1 species
UAAGGAAUAUUGGUCAAUGGACGCAAGUCUGAACCAGCCAUGCCGCGUGGAGGAUGAAGGUCCUCUGGAUUGUAAACUUCUUUUAUUUGGGAAGAAACCCACGGUUUCUACUGUGGUUGACGGUACCAGAUGAAUAAGCACCGGCUAACUCCGUGCCAGCAGCCGCGGUAAUACGGAGGGUGCAAGCGUUAUCCGGAUUCACUGGGUUUAAAGGGUGCGUAGGCGGGCAGGUAAGUCAGUGGUGAAAUCCCCGAGCUUAACUUGGGAACUGCCGUUGAUACUAUCUGUCUUGAAUACUAUGGAGGUAAGCGGAAUAUGUCAUGUAGCGGUGAAAUGCUUAGAUAUGACAUAGAACACCAAUUGCGAAGGCAGCUUGCUACACAGUUAUUGACGCUGAGGCACGAAAGCGUGGGGAUCAAACAGGAUUAGAUACCCCUGUAGUCCCUGAGCGGGCUGGCAAGGCGCAU